rnacentral:rRNA from 1 species
UCCAGACUCCUACGGGAGGCAGCAGUGGGGAAUAUUGCACAAUGGGGGGAACCCUGAUGCAGCGACGCCGCGUGGGUGAAGGAGUAUUUCGGUAUGUAAAGCCCUAUCAGCAGGGAAGAACAAUGACGGUACCUGACUAAGAAGCACCGGCUAAAUACGUGCCAGCAGCCGCGGUAAUACGUAGGGAGCGAGCGUUGUCCGGAUUUACUGGGUGUAAAGGGCGUGCAGCCGGGAGUACAAGUCAGAUGUGAAAUCCCGCGGCUCAACCGCGGAACUGCAUUUGAAACUGUAUUUCUUGAGUACUGGAGAGGCAGACGGAAUUCCUAGUGUAGCGGUGAAAUGCGUAGAUAUUAGGAGGAACACCAGUGGCGAAGGCGGCUUACUGGACAGUAACUGACGUUGAGGCUCGAAAGCGUGGGGAGCAAACAGGAUUAGAUACCCUUGUAGC